UAUCUAUGAUGACAACAUCUAAGGCUUGUUUCUCAACAACAUUCGCAGUGGCGGCCUAAGAGCUUUCGCCUUUCGCCAGGCUUGAGAGCUAAUGCUGCUUGACUGUUCCUUGGAUGUCUGCGAUU